UACGUAGGGUGCGAGCGUUAAUCGGAAUUACUGGGCGUAAAGCGUGCGCAGGCGGUUUUGUAAGUCUGGCGUGAAAGCCCCGGGCUUAACCUGGGAAUUGCGAUGGAGACUGCAAGGCUUGAAUCUGGCAGAGGGGGGUAGAAUUCCACGUGUAGCAGUGAAAUGCGUAGAGAUGUGGAGGAACACCGAUGGCGAAGGCAGCCCCCUGGGUCAAGAUUGACGCUCAUGCACGAAAGCGUGGGGAGCAAACAGG
rnacentral:rRNA from 1 species